GAUGAACGCUGGCGGCGUGCCUAAUACAUGCAAGUCGAGCGAACGGACGAGAAGCUUGCUUCUCUGAUGUUAGCGGCGGACGGGUGAGUAACACGUGGAUAACCUACCUAUAAGACUGGGAUAACUUCGGGAAACCGGAGCUAAUACCGGAUAAUAUUUUGAACCGCAUGGUUCAAAAGUGAAAGACGGUCUUGCUGUCACUUAUAGAUGGAUCCGCGCUGCAUUAGCUAGUUGGUAAGGUAACGGCUUACCAAGGCAACGAUGCAUAGCCGACCUGAGAGGGUGAUCGGCCACACCGGAACUGAGACACGGUCCAGACUCCUAAGGGAGGCAGCAGUAGGGAAUCUUCCGCAAUGGGCGAAAGCCUGACGGAGCAACGCCGCGUGAGUGAUGAAGGUCUUCGGAUCGUAAAACUCUGUUAUUAGGGAAGAACAUAUGUGUAAGGAACUGUGCACAUCUUGACGGUAACUAAUCAGAAAGCCACGGCUAACUACGUG
rnacentral:rRNA from 1 species